rnacentral:lncRNA from 1 species
GAUGCUCCUCCCCACCUCCACCUCUUCCUAGGGCUCCCGCCUUCUCCAGGUCCAGAAAGAACCCCAAGCCCCGUCCAUCGGGACACGCCCCCAGCCCCCACUCCCGCGCGUCUUUUAACCCCUUCCCCGCCGCAACCAUGUCCAACAACAUGGCCAAGAUUGCCGAGGCCCGCAAGACGGUGGAACAGCUGAAGCUGGAGGUGAACAUCGACCGCAUGAAGGUGCUGGGUCGGGGUGGGGAAUAGGGCGGGGGUUCUGGGCCUGCGGUCUGUCCGGGGCUGUGUCGGCCCGGCUCGGAGCCAUAGUGCAAGGAUGCCCCUGGGAACAGGGCUGGGCAAGGGGCGGGGCAGGGCAGGAGGAGGGGCCAGGACGAGGGGAGGGGCAGAACAGGGGAGGGGCCAGGACGAGGGGAGGGAUGGGGCAGGGGAGGGGCCAGGACGAGGGGCGGGGUAGGACAGGGGAGGGGCCAGGACGAGGGGGCGGAGUAAGACAAGGGGAAAGGCCUGUAUGGGGCGGGGCAAGGUGGGAGGAGGGGACAGGGCAAGAGGCGGGGCCUAAGUGGGCGGCUCCAAGGAGCCGGGCAGGGCGGUGACAUCUCCACCCGGGUGCUCGCAGGUGUCGCAGGCAGCAGCGGAACUCCUGGCUUUCUGCGAGACGCAUGCCAAAGAUGACCCGCUGGUGACGCCAGUACCCGCCGCGGAGAACCCCUUCCGCGACAAGCGCCUCUUUUGUGUUCUGCUCUGAGCCCUCCGGACAGCUUACCCUCCCCUGCCAAAGUAUGGAUCCAAUAAACUUGGUAACUGUGGUGGUGCCUGUGCUUUCAGGGAGACUGAGGCACGCACAGAGCUUGGGGCCACCGUAGGGGA